UCUCCGUCGCGCGCUUUCAAAAAGGUGAUCCCUAACCCCUCCAGCCGCCGCACCCCCCUCCCCCCCUCCACCCAAAAUCCCUAACCCCCUUCAGAUUCAAGAAGCCAUCUCCUUCCCCGACCAAGUCCUCCUCCUCAAAUUCCCCUCUUCCCUCCGCAUUUCUGACCUCUGCCUCUACUACUCUUUCUCCCUCUCCAUCACCGCAGGCGGCGGCCUCAUCCUCGGCUCCCCUCCUCUUUCCCCCACUUCUCUUUGUGGCGUCGAGAAGCAGCGCACAGAGAACAUAUCCGGCGAUGAUGUCUUCACCCGCCUCUUCGUCGCCGUCGAGUCCGACAUCGACGAUGCCCUCCAGGUCCUCCUCCUCUUUCUCCCUUCCAGGGUUUCUUUUUCUUGAUGUUUCCUUAGUGGCGCAUUUUUUUCUUUUCCCUGUUGUGUAGAAAUCGGAGAUGGCGGCCGAGGAGAAAAAUAGGGCGGUGGCGGUGGCGAUGAAUGCCGAGAUUCGGCGCACUAAGGCCCGGUUGAUCGAGGAGUUGGCCCUCAAUAAGCUUGCUGACCAACUAUACUGGGAGUAUGCGGAUCUGGCCGUGCCGGAUCUCCGGUGAACUCCACCUCCCUCACCGCUGUUCUCCUUGCUUGCCACGGAUUUAAUAUUCUCAGCCUUCUGACUUGAGAAGAGUGGCAGGCAGCCAAGCACGACAUCUAUUCGAUGGAAUGCUGAAGAGAGACAUAGUACAUACAAAAUUUUUGAUAGCAUUAUUGCAUGUUGAGUGGCUAUACUGGUAAUGAGAACAAGAUAGCUCUUCACUUUAGUACUGCCUUUUGGCCUAAUGUAGAAGUUUUAGGAAUGGUUGCUCCAACAUCAUAUGUCUGUGGCUAUUUUCUCAAUCUCCACAAAGCUACAGGACAUCCUGUUCUUAUGUACAUGGCUGCUGGAAGGUUUGCUCAUGACAUUGAGAAUCUAUCUGAUGAAGAAGCUGUUAACUUUGUGAUGCUACAACUUAAGAAAAUGCUACCAUAUGCCAUAGAGCCGAUAAGAUUCUAUCACCUGUAUUCAUUUGUAUUUGUGUUGUACUCCAAUGGUGAUUUUAGCUUCAGACUAAUUUUUUUAACUGUAAUUUUUCUUUUUCAGGUUCAGUAUUUGGUUUCUCGGUGGGGUACAGAUCCAGAUUCCCUUGGGUCCUAUUCUUGUGAUCUGGUUGGGAAGCUAGCUGAUUUGUAUGAGAGAUUUCGCACUCCUGUGGAUAAUUUAUAUUUUGCUGGGGAAGCAGCAAGUGUUGAUCAUUCUGGGUCUGUUCUUGGAGCUUAUACAUCAGGUAUCUUAGCUGCCGAAGACUGCCGAAGGCAUAUAUUAUUGCAGCAUGGUAUCUCGGAUCGUUUCCAGAUUGUAUUAAGGGAGGCAAUGUCAGAAAUGAUACCCUUCCAAAUAUCUAGGAUGUAGUUUAUUUUUUGCUGGAUCAAUAACGAAACCGUGUAUUAUCUGAGAAUAAAUGGAAGUAGAUUUUUGUUU